rnacentral:rRNA from 1 species
CAGUAGCCGCGGGAAUACGAAGGGGGCUAGCGUUGUUCGGAAUUACUGGGCGUAAAGCGCACGUAGGCGGAUAUUUAAGUCAGGGGUGAAAUCCCAGAGCUCAACUCUGGAACUGCCUUUGAUACUGGGUAUCUUGAGUAUGGAAGAGGUGAGUGGAAUUCCGAGUGUAGAGGUGAAAUUCGUAGAUAUUCGGAGGAACACCAGUGGCGAAGGCGGCUCACUGGUCCAUUACUGACGCUGAGGUGCGAAAGCGUGGGGAGCAAACAGGAUUAGAUACCCCAGUAGUCCCUGUCUCUUAUAA